rnacentral:rRNA from 1 species
AUGCCCAGGGCUACACACGUGCUACAAUGGGCGGUUACAAAGAGAAGCAACCUCGCGAGGGUGAGCAAAUCUCAAAAAGCCGUUCUCAGUUCGGAUUGAAGUCUGCAACUCGACUUCAUGAAGUCGGAAUCGCUAGUAAUCGCGGAUCAGCACGCCGCGGUGAAUACGUUCCCGGGCCUU